ensembl:lncRNA
CCCAGAAUCCUCAGGGCUGAGGUCAUGUGACGAGUUAUCCCCAUCAUCCAUAUUCAGCCCCCAAUCGCCACAGCGGAGGAGGAGGAGGGUCGCCAUGACAACAGGAGGGUAGAGCAGCAGGUGGACUCUAAUCAAGUUGUAGAAACAUCUCAAGGAUGAUCAAUGGAAACAGGAUGCACCUGAAUGAAAUGUCGAGUCUCAUAGCAAAGGAUCUGAUUACUAAAUAAGGGCGAGGACCUGCCUUCCCAGUUUGGUCACAUGACUGUGAGCUGCCAGUCAUUGGCAGAAGCUCCGCCUCUAUACCCUCCCUUAGCCCCUCCCACACAGAGUUAAGUCUUCACCGUACCUCCUCACAACCCCCCAGCUACUGCC